ensembl:snoRNA
UUACUUCUGUGAUGGAUUGCACUGGGCUCAGAAAUUUUCUGUUGAUAAAAGUGCAGCUCUGCUCCUGACAUGGCAGGGUCUGAGAUUUGA